UCCCUGCUGCGCUGGAGCGUGGAUAACACAUGCAGUCGAACGAUGAAGCUUCCUGCUUUGAGGGAAGUGGAUUAGUGGCGAACGGGUGAGUAUCACGUGAGCAACCUGCCCUUGACUCUGGGAUAAGCCUGGGAAACUGGGUCUAAUACCGGAUAUAACCUCUUACCGCAUGGUGAGUGGUGGAAAGCUUUUGCGGUCUUGGAUGGGCUCGCGGCCUAUCAGCUUGACGGUGAGGUAGUGGCUCACCGUGGCGAUGACGGGUAGCCGGCCUGAGAGGGUGACCGGCCACACUGGGACUGAGACACGGCCCAGACUCCUACGGGAGGCAGCAGUGGGGAAUAUUGCACAAUGGGCGAAAGCCUGAUGCAGCGACGCCGCGUGCGGGAUGACGGCCUUCGGGUUGUAAACCGCUUUCAGCAGGGAAGAAGCGCAAGUGACGGUACCUGCAGAAGAAGCGCCGGCUAACUACGUGCCAGCAGCCGGGUUAAAUA
rnacentral:rRNA from 1 species